rnacentral:rRNA from 1 species
CCUACGGGGUGCAGCAGUGGGGAAUAUUGGACAAUGGGCGAAAGCCUGAUCCAGCCAUGCCGCGUGUGUGAAGAAGGCCUUCGGGUUGUAAAGCACUUUCAGUGGGGAAGAAAGCCUUGGGGCUAAUACCCUCGAGGAAGGACAUCACCCACAGAAGAAGCACCGGCUAACUCCGUGCCAGCAGCCGCAGGUAAUACGGAGGGUGCGAGCGUUAAUCGGAAUUACUGGGCGUAAAGCGCGCGUAGGCGGUCUGAUAAGCCGGUUGUGAAAGCCCCGGGCUCAACCUGGGAACGGCAUCCGGAACUGUCAGGCUAGAGUGCAGGAGAGGAAGGUAGAAUUCCCGGUGUAGCGGUGAAAUGCGUAGAGAUCGGGAGGAAUACCAGUGGCGAAGGCGGCCUUCUGGACUGACACUGACGCUGAGGUGCGAAAGCGUGGGUAGCAAACAGGAUUAGAUACCCUAGUAGUC